rnacentral:snRNA from 1 species
UGAUCUGGCUGGGCGGUAUCCCUUUCCUCCCUCAGUGAUCCAUGUGUGUCCCUCCACAAGCUGCAUGCUCGGCCAAAGAAGACGACCACUCCCCAAUAGAGGAGGACCGUUCCUUGGUCAAGGGUGUACAAGUAGCUGCGCUCCCCUGCUAGAACCUCCGAACAAAACUCUCAUUUUUCUUGUGCUAAUUUGAAAUUUCACAAGGACUGGUGAGUCUUAGGUCUGUUCUUAUUAUCCAACCAAAAUCUAGGGGUGGGGGCCAGCCCCCU